CAGUCGCCGCGGUAAUACGAAGGGGGCUAGCGUUGCUCGGAAUGACUGGGCGUAAAGGGCGCGUAGGCGGCGAUCAAAGUCAGGCGUGAAAUUCCUGGGCUCAACCUGGGGGCUGCGUUUGAUACUUGAUUGCUAGAGUGGGGAAGAGGGUCGUGGAAUUCCCAGUGUAGAGGUGAAAUUCGUAGAUAUUGGGAAGAACACCGGUGGCGAAGGCGGCGACCUGGUCCUUGACUGACGCUGAGGCGCGAAAGCGUGGGGAGCAAACAGGAUUAGAUACCCCAGUAGUCCCUGUCUCUUAUAC
rnacentral:rRNA from 1 species